rnacentral:lncRNA from 1 species
ACUAAAUUCAAAACAUUUUACUCGCCAUUCGACCUUCCACGCGCUUCCGGCCUUUAAAACCUGAAAAUGUUAAAUAUGGGAUGAGCAUACAGGGUACACUCAGUGUGGAAACAUGCAAUAAUUGUCCAUGUUAAUAAAAUGGUAACACAUAUUGUCAUAACGUAACAUAAAUUUCCAUACGCACUGUGGCAACUCCAAGGACUUUAAUGUCCCGGACCCUAUAUGUGGGCCCCUGGCGACAAUAUAAUGGUUGCAACCCUGUAACAUGAAAUCGCUUUGUGGCAUACCAAGGACGGUGAAGUCCUGGACCAAUUAUACUGGCCCCUAGCGAUAAAUAUUUUUACAACACAUACGGUAAACACAUAAUAUUAAAAUGGACAAAUAUUAACCACGUGCAUGUACUGAAAUAAAUCCCACACCUGGAACUUGAGCUUUGAAAGCUAACUUGAGUAAUUCAAUCAAAAGUAACGUCCUAGUCGCGCCGCACCUAGUCAGAUAAAUUUAAAUAAUAAACAUAAAGGCCUAAUUAAAUUUACUAAAAAUAUAACUUGAAACUUAAGAAUUUAUUUUAUAAGCCAUUGAUUUAAUUAAUAAAGUAGAAUAAUAAUAAAAAAAUACUUAAAGAUCAUUUUCUUUAGGAAAAGUAGCUAAUUUUCUAAUUUAAAACCAAGUUCAGUUACGUAAAUAUAUUAAUGCAGUAGAUCAAUCCAUUAACAAAAUAGAACUUAAGUCCAAGACUUAAAAUCCAACAUCAUUUCCCUUUAAUUAAAACAAGGCUAAACUUAAGCCCAUUUAUGCAAAUAGCCCAACACCCAUUCUUCUCCAUUAAAUUUCGCUAUCUCUCUCUAAUUCACUACACACACACGCACACCCUCACAAACAUACAACUCACGCCUCUUCCCUCUCAGCCGCUCUCUCUCUCUUCUCUCCACCCCUCUCUCUCCCUCUCGGCCUCCUACCACCGCGCCACCAGACGGCCGCCACCGCGACGGACAGCAGCACAGCCCAACGCUUCUCCCUCCGCCCUGACCGGAAAUACUCAGCAGCGGCAGAGACCACGGUGCCGCUGCCCCUGUUUCCUCUCGCCGUACGCCGCCCUCUCUCCCUUUCCAGAUCCGGCCAGACAACCAUCUGACGCCGCCCCCUGCUCCGGCGGGUAGCUCCUCAUCCCACUUCAUCCCAACUCCCUUUAUCAAUAUAGGUUUCUAAAUCUAAAUUUGUUUUCUGUAAAAUCAAUGAAUAUGUAUUCCUUUUCGAUUUCUUAUGAAUUACAAACACUAGAUCUAAUGAUGUGUGUAUGCAUGUUUGGAUUUAUAAAAAUAAGAAUUUUGUGGGAGUUUGGUUGUUUUCUGUAAAUUGAAAGAAAGCAGAGAUCUUUGCAUAUGAAAAUAAAACUAUACAAGUUUAUGAGAAUUACCGAUUGAUGAUGUGCAGUGAGAAAUGGCAGAUUGAAUUAUUUUGUGAAAAGAGCAAAUGGAGAAAUCUGUUGAUGGUUUAUGAUUUGAAACUGAUGGAAUGAGAAUGAUACAAUGAGGUUUAAAUAGAUUGAAUUACUUGUUUGAACAUAAACGUGUGAAAGAGAUCAAUCAAAGUUUGCUGCUUCAAAAUUUGCUGCUGUGGAAAUCAAAUUUUACGGAAAGGCUUUUGAAUCUUCUGUUUGCUUUUGAAUUGAAGAUGUUGGGGAUUUUAGAAUUUGAGAGUAAAAUGAAUUGUGAGAGUUUAAAAUUAUUAAAAAUUGUAUUUUGUGCAAAUAUAGAAGUGAACUGUAGGAAAAUGAAAAUUUGCAGAAAUAAUAAAAUUACCUUUACAGAGAAAAGAGCACAAAUGAUCUUAAAGAUUGCUGCGUUUUUGGCAUGAUAACUGAGAUGAUAAAGGAUGAUGUUUUAAAUAAGAAAAUUUGAGAUGAUACUUGUGGCUCAAGAAUGUUUUGAGACGAAACGUGGCCGAGUGAAAUGAAAUGGCUGUAGCAAAGUGAUACACCUAUACCUUCUUUUAAAUUAAAAUAAUAAUUUAUAUAAUAUAUAAGAAUGUAUGGGCUUCCAUGAAAAAUAUGAAGCUUUAGCCCAUUAAUAACAACAAGCCCAACAUUAAUAAAAAUUAAGAAAAUAUUUUAUUCUUUAUCCAAAAAUCAAUAUAAUGUCAUAAUAAAUAUAUUUAAAUAAAUAAUUUUAUUUAGGCACAAAUUUAUAUAAAAAUAUGAGUAUAGAUCUUUAUUUCCAUAGGUAUAAUUUAUAGUUCAAAGUCACAUCUAACUAGGGCGGUUAGAUAUCUGAUAAGAAUGAAAAUAGGAAUGGCUGG